AUACCAUGGUUUUGAUCCUGGGUUUAUCUGGAUGAAGGCUUAUCCCUUAAACUUUGGAUAUGCUGACUUCUGUGGUUUUCCCAAAGGUGGAAAACUCGACUGCAUAAGCUGUGGUGGCAGGUGACUGUGUCCCUGUUUUCGCUUG
rnacentral:snRNA from 13 species